GUACAGGGGGAUAACAGUUAGAAAUGACUGCUAAUACCGCAUAAGCGCACAGUGCUGCAUGGCACAGUGUGAAAAACUCCGGUGGUAUGAGAUGGACCCGCGUCUGAUUAGUUAGUUGGUGGGGUAACGGCCUACCAAGGCGACGAUCAGUAGCCGGCCUGAGAGGGUGAACGGUCACAUUGGGACUGAGACACGGCCCAAACUCCUACGGGAGGCAGCAGUGGGGAAUAUUGCACAAUGGGGGAAACCCUGAUGCAGCGACGCCGCGUGAGCGAAGAAGUAUUUCGGUAUGUAAAGCUCUAUCAGCAGGGAAGAAAAUGACGGUACCUGACUAAGAAGCACCGGCUAAAUAC
rnacentral:rRNA from 1 species